rnacentral:lncRNA from 1 species
AUGCAGGUGCGGCCGGAGCCGGGCCGCCAGGAACCGAUGCAGGUGCGGCCGGAGCCGGGCCGCCAGGAACUGAAGCAGGUGCGGCCGGCGACCCCCUCCUGGAGGUCCGCCGGGACUGCGGCGGGCGCGACCCCCUCCUGGAGGUCCGCCGGGACUGCGACGGGCGCGACCCCCUCCUGGAGGUCCGCCGGGACUGCGACGGGCGCGACCCCCUCCUGGAGGUCCGCCGGGACUGCGACGGGCGCGACCCCCUCCUGGAGGUGCGCCGGGACUGCGGCUGGCGCGACCCCCUCCUGGAGGUGCGCAGGAGCUGCAGCUGGCGCAACCUCCUCCUGGAGGUGCGCAGGAGCUGCAGCAGGCGCGGCCUCCUCCUGGAGGCCGGCGAGCGCUGCGGCUCCGAGGGUGACAGGAACUGGAACGGCCGCAACAUGGCCGACAGGGACUGGGACAGGAACUGGAACGGCCGCAACAUGGCCGACAGGGACUGGGACAGGAACUGGAACGGCCGCAACAUGGCCGACAGGGACUGGGACAGGAACUGGAACGGCCGCAACAUGGCCGACAGGGACUGGGACAGGAACUGGAACGGCCGCAACAUGGCCGACAGGGACUGGGACAGGAACUGGAACGGCCGCAACAUGGCCGACAGGGACUGGGACAGGAACUGGAACGGCCGCAACAUGGCCGACAGGGACUGGGACGGGAACAGGAACGACCUCUACUUGGCCGACAGGAACAGGAACGACCUCUAUUUGGCCGACAGGAACAGGAACGACCUCUACUUGGCCGACAGGAACAGGAACGACCUCUACUUGGCCGACAGGAACAGGAACGACCUCUACUUGGCCGACAGGAACAGGAACGGGGACUGGAACGGCCGCAACAUGGCCGACAGGAACGGCCUCAACAUGGCCGACAGGAACAGGAACAGGGACUGGAACGGCCUCAACAUGGCCGACAGGAACGGCCUCAACAUGGCCGACAGGAACGGGGACGGCGUCCCCUCCGGAGCCGGCAUGA